AUACGUGAGGGGCAAACGUUGUUCGGUGUCACUGGGCUUAAAGAGCGCGUAGGUGGUUAUGCAAGUAAGGUGUGAAAGCCCUCGGCUCACCCGAGGAAUUGCGCUUUAUACUGCAUGACUUGAGGAUCAGAGGGGUAGGAGGAACUCCAGGUGUAGCGGUGAAAUGCGCAGAUAUCUGGAGGAAGGCCGGCGGCGAAGGCGUCCUACUGGCUGAUUUCUGACACUGAGGCGCGAAAGCGUGGGUAGCGAACAGGAUUAGAUACCCUAGUAGUCC
rnacentral:rRNA from 1 species